rnacentral:rRNA from 1 species
GAUGAACGCUGGCGGCGUGCCUAAUACAUGCAAGUCGAGCGAACAGAUGAGGAGCUUGCUCCUCUGACGUUAGCGGCGGACGGGUGAGUAACACGUGGAUAACCUACCAUAAGACUGGGAUAACUUCGGGAAACCGGAGCUAAUACCGGAUAAUAUAUUUAACCGCCUUGUUUAAUAGUUAAAGUCGGUUUUGCUGGCACUUAUAGCUGGAUCCCCGCCGCAUUAGCUAGUUGGUAAGGUAACGGCUUACCAAGGCAACGAUGCGUAGCCGACCUGAGAGGGUGAUCGGCCACACUGGAACUGAGACACGGUCCAGACUCCUACGGGAGGCAGCAGUAGGGAAUCUUCCGCAAUGGGCGAAAGCCUGACGGAGCAACGCCGCGUGAGUGAUGAAGGUCUUCGGAUCGUAAAACUCUGUUAGUAGGGAAGAACAAAUGUGUAAGUAACUAUGCACGUCUUGACGGUACCUAAUCAGAAAGCCACGGCUAACUACGUG